rnacentral:tRNA from 1 species
CGCUAGGAAGCUAAUUAUUGGACAAAGCAUUGGCCUUUUAAGCCGAAGAUUGGUGAUUCCCGACCACCCCUAGUGA